GCUUCGGCAGUUUAAUGGAUCAACGCGGCAGACCCGAUAUCUGUAAAUGCGGGUUCGAGUCCCGCCUGAGGUC
rnacentral:tRNA from 1 species